GCACCACUUGGCAGUGGAGAAACCUUAAUCAUGAAGAUGUUUUCCCAGGGUGAAGUUUAGACAUUGCACUCUGGUUGUGCUGACCGCUGAGAUUUUUCCAAAUGUGGGAAACUUGUCUGCAUAAUUUGUGGUAAUAGGGGACUGCGUCCGUGUUUUCCCUGG
rnacentral:snRNA from 1 species